rnacentral:rRNA from 1 species
UACAGAGGGUGCAAGCGUUAAUCGGAAUUACUGGGCGUAAAGCGUGCGCAGACGACUGCGUAAGUCAGAUGUGAAAGCCCCGGGCUCAACCUGGGAAUUGCAUUUGAGACUGCGUAGCUAGGGUGCGGAAGAGGGAAGCGGAAUUUCCGGUGUAGCGGUGAAAUGCGUAGAUAUCGGAAGGAACACCAGUGGCGAAAGCACUCUGCUGGGCCACAACUGACACUGAGAGACGAAAGCGAGGGGAGCAAAAGGG